UGGGUGUUUAUGCAGAGGCCACUCUGUUUUUAAGAAGAGCAAAAGGAGUCUCUGAAAAAUGCAUUAACCAGGGAAAAACAUGUUGUUUUCCCUUGGUUUGCCUUCCCCCAGCUCCACCAGCUCCGGAGCAGCCAAAUGGAAUUUUACCAACUCUGAGAGAGUACUGGUGGGCAGGAACAAAGGGAACAAGGACUCAUCCUGAGGGAAGCGGCAGCGUUGCUCCCCAAAAGUUAUAUGCAAGAACAAGUGUCAGCCUGCAGUGGCUGUGCCCAGGACCAAGACACAAAGACAAAGCAGGACCCUGCAGCUACCCAGCUUCUUCCCCGUGCUCAGCCCCCAGGGGCAUCUUCCUCUCUCCAGAACCCCUGUGCUCUCAGCCCUCAUCUCAGAGGCCAUUUCUCACCUGUUUGAGGUCCUUUUUGAUGAUCUCUCUGGGGAAUAAUCACAGCCAGCUCUUGCCUUCCUUCAGUGGUUGAAGUGGUAGAUUCCUGACCCAGGAUCCUCUCCCUUCCAGAACAUUCCAUCCAUCUUGUCACCUUUCCCUUGGCCCUUCUUGUGAUUGGCUUUCAGGCCCACCCCAUCUGAGAAUGCCUCCUUGUUUUCAUGAAAGACAUAACACCCGACGAGCUCCACAAAGCCACCAGAAAAUGCUCACGGACUCUGAUGGUUUCAAGAGGCAGCCGCCACCCACGCUUCCUUUUCUUCCCAGGAAAAUGCAGGUGACCCCAGCAAAGAUCCCUGGCAUUGCCCAGUGGUUCUCAGAGAAGGCACUAUGACCUCUGACCCCAGACUACUGUCCACUCCAAGACACUUGGCCUUCUCCGUGCCCGCCCACCCAUUCUGCCCUGGCCAUGCUGCCCUCAGAGCACCAUCACCCUCUGCAGGCGCAGGCUCCCUGCAGUCCUGCCAAGGCUUCUCCACACCUUGCCAAGUUCCUGCACUCUCUCUCUGCCUUCGCGUUUCCGUGCCUUCUGGACUGCUUCUCCAGUGAGAGGCCCCUGAACAGGACCCUCAGUCUUUGGCAGGCAUUCCCUGGAUCUCUAGAAAGGGGGACACAGGAGAGGGUCUGCUGUGCCCAGUACACCACAUGCCAGAAGGGACUUCCAUUCUCCUCUAAUGGGCUGUACAUCCUUGGGCCCCUUCUGGCUUCAAGGACAUCUGGUUGACCAUGACCCAAAGAGGUCUGUGAUGGGCUUCCAUGACCACAGGGUGCAGUGCCAAUUGGAUUUCAAAUUUCUAAGAUAGGGCUGGGGCUAUCUCUCAGUUGCAUGCACAAGGCCCUGGGUUCAAUCCCCAGCACCAUAAAACAAACAAAAAACCCCAAAGAUGCUCCCCUCUGAGAACCUGAACCUGCGUGCACAAUCCUAGAACAAGAUGGUCACAGAGCCCCGCCCCCUUCUCCCAGGGGCCAAGAUGACCCGAGCAACUUCAGCUGGGGAUUCAUUAGCCUUUAAAAAUCUGCCAUGUCCCAGGACCUGAGCUCCACUCCUGCCCCCACCGCCCCCAGCUGUCUCUAUGUGUUCCCUUGGAACUGACCCACCACUGACAAUCUCAGCCCUGUGUCAUGUCACCACCCCCCCCAACAGUCUGCUCUUGAUCCAAGGCAAGGGGGUCCCAGGCUGAGGACAGCUCCCCUCUGUGCCCUCCCCGCCUCCCUCCUCUGUCCCACCACUGUUGACAGUCCUGAAGUUGGCUUUUCUUUUCCUGCAGGGCCAGUUUCUUACGCUUUUUUCUUCUCUCUCUUUGUCUCUGUCUCUGUCUCUCCUUCCCCCACCCUGCCCCUGCCUGUGGGGCCUCCUGGUCUCGCCCCGGCUGGUGGGCUGCCCACCGGGCAGGGAAGGCCGGAUGGUGGUGCUAUCCUUGGUCUUAGGGCUUUCGGAACAGGAUGACUUUGCCAAUAUCCCUGACCUGCAAAACCCAGGAACCCAGCAGAACCAGAACGCUCAG
rnacentral:lncRNA from 1 species